rnacentral:rRNA from 1 species
CCUACGGGAGGCAGCAGUGGGGAAUAUUGCACAAUGGGCGCAAGCCUGAUGCAGCAACGCCGCGUGAGGGACGACGGCCUUCGGGUUGUAAACCUCUUUUAGUAGGGAAGAAGCGAAAGUGACGGUACCUGCAGAAAAAGCACCGGCUAACUACGUGCCAGCAGCCGCGGUAAUACGUAGGGUGCAAGCGUUAUCCGGAAUUAUUGGGCGUAAAGAGCUCGUAGGCGGUUUGUCGCGUCUGCUGUGAAAACUGGAGGCUCAACCUCUAGCCUGCAGUGGGUACGGGCAGACUAGAGUGCGGUAGGGGAGAUUGGAAUUCCUGGUGUAGCGGUGGAAUGCGCAGAUAUCAGGAGGAACACCGAUGGCGAAGGCAGAUCUCUGGGCCGUAACUGACGCUGAGGAGCGAAAGCAUGGGGAGCGAACAGGAUUAGAUACCCUGGUAGUCCAUGCCGUAAACGUUGGGAACUAGAUGUAGGGACCAUUCCACGGUUUCUGUGUCGCAGCUAACGCAUUAAGUUCCCCGCCUGGGGNGGACGGCGCGAGACGUAACUAAGUAAGUAGACGCGUGAGACGUGCGACGACGACGACGAGGGAGGAGG